GUGUCAAACUCAUCUUCACUGGGGGCCACGUCAGCCUCACAGUUGCCUUCAAAGGGUCGAAUGCAAUUUUAGGGCUGUAAAUAUAACUACUCCCUAACUAGGGGCAAGGAGCUUGGCGCUGCCGCCGGGUAGAAACAAGAUCCUGGACUGGAUUCAUCCCA